UGCGUGUGCCUGAGAGCAGUGCCCCGUAUCCAGCCCCGAGCACAAGGCGUUCCCCCGGCUGUCGGCGUUAGGCAUCAGCUGAGGCGCGUGCGCAGAGAAGGCCCCCAGUGCGUUCGUAUUAAUCCCCCUUUAAACACCGCACAUGGCAAGACAAGCAAGUAAUAAUAAUAUUAAUAUCUACGCAGGGCACAGGUGCCCGCGUGUCUUAAGGAGGAGUGAGACAAGCUCACCCCACCAUCGGAAAACUUGAUUUCCCUACCCCGGCUCCCCUGCGCGGGGUCCGCCAUUGGCGGUCCCCUGGGUGCGGCCUCCCGGGCGGCAUCGGGUGUUGGCAAUGCCCAUCUCUUGCUCUAGCCGGUAGUACAGGUUUGCGGUGCCCCGGAGUGUGGUGACGCUAUGCAUGUGGAGACGUGUGCAGCAGGCCUUGGCUGCCUGCGGUUUGGCUCCUAGGUCUUUGAGGAGAGUUUCAAGGGUACGGGGGACAGUGCCACCGUGGCCCAGUGUAAUAACGUGUUUAGUAUCGUAGUGCACAGUCCACCCUGCAGCUUGCAUGGCAGUGGCAAGGGUGGCGUGCUGUGCUUGUUUUUGAAUGAGCUUCUCGCUGUGGUGCAGGUCAGAGGUGUAUCCAACUUCAAGGAUGUACACUGGGUAGGCCCCUUUGUUGGCUGGUGGGGAUGUCAUGAAGCGUUCUGCUUCGGACCGGGGAAGGUUCGGGAUAAACAGAAUGUCAGGCCGCAUCCUGUUGAGGUCUGCAGCGGGCACUUGCGGGCAGAGCCAGGACGGCGGCCGCAUGCCCGCACAGUACUCAGGCAGUUCAGCUCGGGAGGUGGCAUCCAUUAUCAUGUAGCCACCACCGUUGUGACCAUGGUGUAGGCAUUCGGCAAUCGCCCGCACUGCAGUGUUGUGUUUGGCUAUCCUAGCGCCAACGAGUUGCGGAUGCGCGCAGUGGCCGGCAAGGUGACCUGCGCUGCCACGCUCUGGGUCAGAUCCGCGGCUGCGCUGGGUGUGGGCACAGAGACCACAUUUGUCGCUGUCUCGUAGUUUAAACAAAGCCAGCCGGGCCGGGCAGAUGAGGCCUCCCUGACGAGCAUUCUGUAUGAACCGGCGUAGGCCGUGGCUGGCGUCCGAGUUCGUCAUGUACGCAUUACUGGCGCGUGGGUCAAGGCUGGGUGCUGCCUCGGCCCAUUUCUCAGUGUACAGGGUUUUGAUGGCGUAUCCACCACGGCAGCUGGGGGCCAUUGCCCUGGUGAGGCCCCGGUUUAGGUCCGACACGUAGUGCGUGGCUGUGCUAUCGUCGUCCCUGGUGACCGUGAAGGUCGGCCACCAGUGCCGGGCGUGCGGGUCGUUGUCGGCCGGUUCGGAUACAUCGGCGGUUUUUUCCUGGGUGGCGACGGCAGCCGCCCCUUUAUCGGCUUCCUCGUUGCCGUGUAGCCCGGUGUGCGAGAUCACUUUAAUCAGAGCGGUGGGUGCGCCCCGGGCGUGGCGUGCAUGGAGCAAUGCCACGAUUGAAUCCAGGAGGUCCCGAUGUUUACUCAGAUGCAGUCGCCGAGGCUCGUUGAUUGCUCGUUUGAUUAGGUACAAGCUUGCAACAGAAUCUGAUGCAAUAGUGAGCUUCUUAGUUGCAAAUUCUUUACCUUCGCCACCAAAUGCUGCGAGGGCAGCACGAAUUGCUGCCAGCUCAGCUCUCGUAAUAGUGUUAGUGCACCCAGCGCCAUUUGGAUCCACGUAGACAACGCGAGAAUCGCUGAACCAGGCGCAGGCGCCGGCAACCUGGACUUCUUUGCCAUUUUCAGUUUUGAUUUUGCUUACCGAACCAUCUGUCCAGACAGUGCCAUUCACGUCGUGGGCCAGAGCAUGGUGGGUCUGGAAUCGUGCGUUAGGAAAGCGUCGUGCUUCGUCAGCCAUGGCGUGUAUCGUCUUUGGGUUAGCGUGCUGGUAUUUGGCUUGCUUUAGAAGUGAGUUUGGGAGGGCCGGGCAGGUUGGGGCCGUGGCCGUGUGUGUCCAUGUGCGCGGGUCGCUGAUGUGCGUGGGUGUGUUCGCCCCCCGCUUCAGUGUGUCCACGAGCCGUUUCAGGCGGGGGGCAAAGCACUGGAGUCCGGCGGGGUUCCCAACAAUGACCAGUCGGAGCCCCUUCUGGCGUUCAGCCUGGGUGUUGGUGCCAAGUCCUGUGUCAAGGCCCGCGGUGCCCGCGGACCAGUUGGCCAGCUCGUGGCAAAGUGGGAGUUGAAGCCACUGCGUGUGGGGGAAAGUGGCCGCUUUGGGGAGCGCCAAUACAGUAAGGGUUGGUUCCUGUGAGUCACGCAUAGCCUCGGCGCAUGCGAGGGCCCACAUGAGCGCCUUCCGUGCAUCGUGGGGGGUAGAGGGGGGGUGGGCAUAUUGCAAGCCGGUCCAUGCGGUCUGGUAGGCAUCGUGCAGUGCGCCAAAGGCCCCAUCAGCAGGGUCUCGUGUCCAGUAUUCGUGGGCUGCAGUGGAGGAGUUUAGUGGGGACGCAAACAUUUCCCGAACGUGUACUGCUUGUGAGACCCGCAGGCAUUGGACGAUGGCAGCUACUGUGCCUGCCGGCAGCGACACCUGGUGCAUUGGCAUGGCCUUGCGGUCCUGCUGCGCCGGGUCAUAGCGGUAGCGCAUGAUGAGGGCAGCGACCGCUUCCUCAAAGGCGUUGGGCCGCUGGUUGCCGGUGUGCCUGAAGCGCUCCCACAGGGCAAGGAGGCGGGGGUAGGUGAUGGUGCCCAGCCAGCGGCCACUGGGUUCAUGGAUGUGCGCCUCAGCUGGGUCACGGCGGGUGCCACCAGUGGUGGUAAUAGUGUAUGCUCCGGGGGCCACGAUGUCCUUGUAGGGGUUGCACGGGCUUGUGGUGAUGGUGGUGGUCGUGCGGAUGUCACGCGCGCGGGAUGCGGUAUCCAGGGGCUCAGCGUCGUGGCGGCCUUGGCGCUGUCUGGCGGUAAGGUUCCGAUCAGGUGCGGGGCGCACUGUUCGGGGCCGCGGGCCUUGGUUGGUACCGUAUGCUCGCCGGGUUUUGCACUCCUCCAGUAGCUCCUCCCAUUGUGGACUGUGUUUUAGGUCCCGUUCACGGUCCGUGCUCGGCGCCCACGUGACAUGUCGCAGGAGUUUGGUCGUCCAGGACGAGAAUAGGGGGGCCCCAGUGGGCUGCGGUGCUGCCGGCUCUGCAGCUUGGGCAGGCUCUUCAGGUGCGAUUGCGUGGGCUUGGGUUUCAGCCGGAGGCUCAGCCUCGGUCUGUGCAGGUUGUGGGCAUGGGCGCGUCGCAAGUGGGUGCUUGUAGCACCUGGCGUUCUGGAUAGUUGCGUAGCCCAUGCGAACAAAAGCAGAGACAAUGCCGACAGGGCAAAUGGACGGCUUCCACUGCACCUUCCAGUAUUUCUCACGUGUCCCAGAGGUGUCCGCUCUGGCCUUGCGCUUCCGUGUCAGUUCUUUGUCCGUGUCAGUUUGUAUAUUUUCGCUGUGCAGGACCUGUGCCAGUUCCUGUCCGUCAUUGUCCAGGUCGUAGGUGAGUUGAGUGUCACCGUUAGUGCGGUUGUCGGUGGGCCGUGGGACUAGAUCGUGUGUGAUCCUGGCGCGGGCCAGUCGCCAGCUGGGACGGGCCCCGUGACCUCCCGCAGCUUGCACUGCCGGGGCGGUCAGGGGCGGCGCUGGGCUGUCGACGUCCAUGGGGUCGUUAUGAGCGGCAGCCUGGUUGGUUUCCAUAGGCAAUCCUGUGUUGUUCAGGUACUCGCUUAUGGCGUUGGGUUCGGGGUUGGCAGCAUUAGCCGUGAGGCGGGUUGUGAGGGCGGGUGGUAGCCCACGGCGCUGUUGGCGUGGUUCGACAGCAUGUGCAAGGGAUGGUGGGUCUUGGGGGUGUGGGUGGCCGAUCCGCAUGUGUCCUGUCAUGUCUUUGGCGAGCGCUUGGAAUACCGAGCAUGCCGUUUCGUACCCCCGCGUGCCCACCGGCAGGCUCUCAUCGCCGUUGGUGAGCCGCAGGGCAUGGUUGAUGGCGGCGCGGUCCCCGGUGAGUAGGUCCUCAGGGGUAGUGCGCGUGGUUUCUGCAAUGCGUGCGCGUUGCGCUGCAUGUUUUGUAACGCGCCGUGCGCGUGUUUGGUUCUGUGGUGGCCGGCGUGUUGUAGCCGGCUUGCGGGCUCUGGCCGGUGGCCGUAGGGAGGGUUGCGUUGCCCCAUCAGCGGGGACUUCCGGUGCAGCAGCACCUUGUGCGCCGGGAUGGGCCUGGGCCGCCCCUGCUGUGGAGUGGGGGGCUAGGUCGGCGGGGGCUUGCGUGGUGUUUGCUUGGGUGGGGGGCGCCUCCGGGAGGGGCUGCAGGUACCAGUCGAGGGGGUUGGCCAUUCCAGGGGGGAGGGGGUCGGGCCUCAUGGCUAAGGCCGCGAUUGCGGCCACGUCAGGCAGUGCACGCUGUGCGGUGGUCAGGGGGGCAGGGCUGCCGUGGGCUGGGGCGUUUUCCCCUGCACGUGCAGCCAUACUGAGAGCAAGGCUAAGCCUGUUCAGGGCUACCUUGUGCUUGUGUCGGACCCGGCUCGCUCCCAUGUGCUUCUCGAGGUCCGAGCUAGUAAUCAGGUGUUUGCCUGUGUUGCGGUCCACCAGGUGGCUCAGUUCGAGCCUCAGGUCCGCAAGAGGGAGGACGUAUUCAAUGGGGAGAGGUUCGACGCCCCGGGCCUCAGCUUCUGCCUCAAGGGCAGCGGCAAUGGACCAGGUAGGCGCAGUUAAGGCAGACCCAUUUUGGUACAGUGUGACACCGUACUCUUUUGCCAGGGUCAUCUGUUUCAGCGUCGUAAGGUGGUGUGACCUAUGGGCUGGGAGAAGGUGGGCCUGUGUGGGGCCAGCUAUGCUUGCCUGGCGCGGCAGAAGGGCUCGGGUUACUAUCCCAAGACGGCCCGAGUCAUUUAGGGCAAGGACCAGGGCUCGCUGGGCCACGCGCGCGUAUUGCGGCAGGAGGGAGCCCAGGCCCAAGCCGUAUUCGUCGGCGGGCAGGAGGCAGGUCCGGGUGGGGAAGCUGCGGGGGAGUCCGUAGCAGCGCUUUGCAAAACCAGCCGGGGUAGUGUCGAGCGUUGUUAUGUCCUGUUUUGUGAAGGGCAUUGCUGCGAAUCCAUAUGCAACUGUGGUGUGCACGCACUGUUGUAUCAUGCGCAGGCGUUGUGCCGGUGUCGCCAGGGAUGUGGCAAUGGCUGUGCCCUUGUCCUUCACAAUCUCGGUGACUCUUGCGACAUGUGCCGACCAGUCCAGCGAGAACGUGAGCUGCACUCCCAGGUACUUGUACGGCUGGAUCGGGGGGAAGUACGGGGCAGGGGUCGUGCCAAUCUUAAUUGUGUUGGUCAUGUUGCGGCGCAUGGCGGCGAGGGUAGCUUUUCCUGUGAGCCCGUCAAGGUUGGGGUCCGAGCGAGACUUGUCGUGCCAGAUGGCGGUGGUGGCACACUUGGUGUGAUUGACACGCAGGCUCGCCCACUCGGCGUAAGAUGUGAUUUUGUCACAUUGAACCUGCAGGUCGUCGAGCGAGUUGGUGAGCGCCGCCAGGUCGUCUGCGUACGCGGCGGCACUGCAAUGGUAUUGCAGGUUUUCGCUGGGGGUCAGGCAGCCGUAGUGGUAGCCCCGUCCGCCCGCAUGGAGCCAGCGGACAAGAGGUUCCAUGAACAGAAUAAAGAGCACAGGUGAGAGUGUAUCACCUUGCACGGUGCCUCGCUCUAUAGGAAUGGCGGAUGUGCUUCCGUGUUCGGUGCGGAUGCGGGUGGUCGCAUGUGCAUAUAGGUUGCGGACUGCGCGGAUCAGGUCCGUUGGCAGCCCAAGGUCAAACAUAAUUUGUAGUAAUCUGUCCUGGUCGAUUGUGUUAAACGCGGAGCUAUAGUCCACGUAUACCGCAUAGACAUCUUUUCCAAACAGUGCGGCAUCCUCAAGGGCAUGUACUAAAUUUAGGACCUGCCUUUCGGUGUUGCAGUAGGCACGGAAGCCUUCCUGCGCUUCACUGAAUAGCUGGAGGGGGCCAGCCAGUUCGCCAAUGCCCAAGGUAAGCAUGGACGUGUACAGCUUGUAGCAGGUGUUUGCGAGCGCAAUGGGCCGUUUGUUUUUUAUGUCCAGGGCGUCUCCAGGUUUGGGGAGUAGCACGGUCUCCGAUGCGGCCCAGGUGAGCGGCGGUGCGUGUGCCUGAGAGCAGUGCCCCGUAUCCAGCCCCGAGCACAAGGCGUUCCCCCGGCUGUCGGCGUUAGGCAUCAGCUGAGGCGCGUGCGCAGAGAAGGCCCCCAGUGCGUUCGUAUUAAUCCCCCUUUAAACACCGCACAUGGCAAGACAAGCAAGUAUCAAGUAUGCGGCCAACCAAGUUUAAGUGUUGCAUGGGGCACUGCUUCCAAACUCUUUGCGGCACUUCCUUCUUUGCCAGUUCAAUGUAUAUAUACUGUACCCUUCUAUGCAUAUCACACACUACUGAAGACACGUCAAAGCUUUCAGUAUGUAGAGACCCGCAAACAGUUCUCUGCCACUCGGCAGAGGACGCCCUCGCCCUGCUAUGUUUGCUGUUAAGGCCCAGUCUCCACUAGUGACGCUAUGUGGCGCACAGGUGCGCCUUGCAGUGGCCAUAACGCUGGGUUGUUGCAGGGGUGGUGACGUCGUUGACCGAGCGCAAUAUUUAUUGCCCAUCUUCAAUUCGUUCAUGUUCAGGCUCAACAAAAGCAUUUCAAAAGGCUACAGAGUGGCGCAGGUGAGGCGGGGGUACCAUCCGCGCGACUUGGUUGCUAGCUUCAGAGGGUGUCAGCAUGAGAGCAUGCGCAUGCUACGGUGUCUGUAUAAUGGCACCGUACAAGCCUGUCAUCAGUUCAUGCUCAGUUCUCAGUCCUGGUACCCUCCCGCCCUCCCUCAGGACUCCGGCCGCACGAAGGGCCACCCGUGCGGACCACCCCUGGGUGGGCUAGACGUGGCGCACCCGCACGUUAACCCCAACAGGCAAGUCUAUGUCCAGAUAGUAUUUCGCAAUUGCUGAAGUAAGCACUGCAUGAGUACCGUGUCUGCAGAUGAACAUGGGGGGAAAGGUACCUUGCGUCAUACCCUCUGAUAUGCCUAAUAUGGUUUUGUGGUUCCUGACCGAAUCGUCCUGAACACUAUGCAGGCUUACGAAGGGCAGCACGGGUGUGGCUAGCUGUGGACUGGAGCGCUGGCACCGGCAGCAUGCGGAGUCUGCGGCAGCACUGUGCAGCAGGUCGGACGUUGUGGUUGUCGUUGUGUGUUUGGCAAGGCUUGAGUAUGGGCACUCCUGUGCCGCUUAUGCCUUGGCGGGUGGCGUUUGGUUGUUACCCGGAAGUGGCUACAUACGCAUCUGUAUUCAUGUUACGGUAGGGCACGUUCGGUGAGCGAGGAGGUCGAUGGGUGACAGGGCAUGUGGAGCGGGCAGACUUCCUUUCCACGGUGUGCGAUGGCGGACUAAAAGCCUAAGGAGAGGCUGGUGGAUGGAGGCGGACUUCACGCCUUCAGAGAAACAGGCCGAAUCCUCGUUUAUACUGGACGCGCGGCACGUGCCGUUGCACAAACUGUAACACAAGAGAGCAGUUGAGGGAAUUGGCUUCGUGUGCCCCACGUGUGCGUGCAUGCAUGCGGGUGGGAAGCGUGCAGUGGGGGGCAGCUGCUUGCGUUAGGUAACGCACAUGCGUCCCGCAUGCGCCAUGGCAUGCGUAGUACUUCACGCAUCCGGCAUAUGUGCAUCACGCAUGCGUAUGGCAUGCGUUCGGGACGCAUGCGUACAUCCAGAAAGAGUCGCUGCGGCCGCUAGCCAACACCAGCAUGCGUUAG
rnacentral:lncRNA from 1 species